rnacentral:rRNA from 1 species
GAUGAAGGCCCUAGGGUCGUAAAGCUCUUUCGCCAGGGAUGAUAAUGACAGUACCUGGUAAAGAAACCCCGGCUAACUCCGUGCCAGCAGCCGCGGUAAUACGGAGGGGGUUAGCGUUGUUCGGAAUUACUGGGCGUAAAGCGCGCGUAGGCGGAUCAGAAAGUUGGGGGUGAAAUCCCGGGGCUCAACCCCGGAACUGCCUCCAAAACUCCUGGUCUUGAGUUCGAGAGAGGUGAGUGGAAUUCCGAGUGUAGAGGUGAAAUUCGUAGAUAUUCGGAGGAACACCAGUGGCGAAGGCGGCUCACUGGCUCGAUACUGACGCUGAGGUGCGAAAGUGUGGGGAGCAAACAGGAUUAGAUACCCUGGUAGUCCACACCGUAAACGAUGAAUGCCAGUCGUCGGGUAGCAUGCUAUUCGGUGACACACCUAACGGAUUAAGCAUUCCGCCUGGGGAGUACGGUCGCAAGAUUAAAACU